rnacentral:rRNA from 1 species
AGAGUUUGAUCAUGGCUCAGGUUACUGCUAUCGAGGUUCGACUAAGCCAUGCGAGUCGAAUGUAGCAAUACAUGGCGUACUGCUCAGUAACACGUGGACAACCUACCCUCAGGUCGGGGAUAAACCCGGGAAACUGGGUAUAAUACCCGAUAGAUCUCGGCUGCUGGAAUGCAUCGAGAUCUAAAGCUCCGGCGCCUGAGGAUGGGUCUGCGGCCUAUCAGGUAGUAGUGGGUGUAGCGUACCUACUAGCCUACGACGGGUACGGGUUGUGAGAGCAAGAGCCCGGAGAUGGAUUCUGAGACACGAAUCCAGGCCCUACGGGGUGCAGCAGGCGCGAAAACUUUACAAUGCCGGCAACGGCGAUAAGGGGACCUCGAGUGCCAGGUUACAAAUCUGGCUGUCGUGAUGCCUAAAAAGCAUUGCAUAGCAAGGGCCGGGCAAGACCGGUGCCAGCCGCCGCGGUAACACCGCGGCUCGAGUGGUAACCGUUAUUAUUGGGUCUAGAGGGUCUGUAGCCGGCCGGAUAAGUCUCUUGGGAAAUCCAGCAGCUCAACUGUUGGGCUUUCAGGAGAUACUGUCUGGCUCGAGGCCGGGAGAGGUGAGAGGUACUUCAGGGGUAGGGGUGAAAUCUUGUAAUCCUUGAAGGACCACCAGUGGCGAAGGCGUCUCACCAGAACGGACCUGACGGCAAGGGACGAAAGCUAGGGGCACGAACCGGAUUAGAUACCCGGGUAGUCCUAGCCGUAAACGAUACUCGCUAGGUGUCGGCCACGGUGCGACCGUUGUCGGUGCCGUAGGGAAGCCGUGAAGCGAGCCACCUGGGAAGUACGGCCGCAAGGCUGAAACUUAAAUGAAUUGACGG